AAGCGUUUAUAUCCCAUAUAUCAUCAAUAAGUACCAAAUAGCAACCUUCAUUCUGGAGUAACUGUGGUAGGUAUUGUAGCAAGUCACGCUCAUCCAUGUUUGACAUAUAUUGUUCGUGCUCAGGUCCUUUGAAAGACUUUAUUAUCCUCUUAAGGACAUCUUUGAUAGUAUAUUCGUUGGAGACACACACUUUAGCACGGGUGCCAACAUGUCUCAACUCGUUAGAGUUGUACAACUUGGUGGCAAGUGAAGUCUUGCCCAACCCCCCCAUUUCGUGAAUGGAAAUGAUUUUAAGGGGCGGAUCCUCGUUAUUAAGUUCUGUCAUCAACUUGUCAACAUCCUCCCUAAAGCCAACUACAUCCACCUUGUUAUCAAUGGCGCUUGCUCUUAUCAAGGUUCUCUCUUUUUGUUUCACGUCUGGGCCGGCUAAAAUAUUGUCGAUCCCAUACUCGAGUCUCCUCUCCUUGAUGACACCGAUCCUUUUCUUGAGUGACUCGAUAUCAUUGCCAAUGUCAUAAAGCUGAGCUUCUUUCUUGCAGAUGCAAAUACAGUUGAGAAAUGUAUGCAUAUGACCUUGACCUUGUUCCAGACUGGCUUGUCCAUCCUGAAACCUCCUCAGGAUAUCCACAGCAUCAUUGGCAACAUCUCUGACAGUGCUUAGCCAUAGACGGAUUUCAUCUUCUUGCCUUGAUUCUACACGUUUUACAGAAGCCUGGAGGAAGCCCAGUUCUUCUUUGAGCCACCUUAUAUCAUCUCUAACCCCUAUUCGUAUGUUAACCUGGUGCACAAGAAAAUCACCAAGCUUUUCAACUGCAAAAGAUAUCACAGCAUCAGCCAUACUUUCUUACGAAGUAAAAAUGAAAGGAAGUCUGGGAAAUACAGGCAAAAGAGUUCAGAUUUUCAUGUCAGUCUCCAAAGUAUACUUUAUAUGUAAACCGGGUUGAGUAAGUUGUCAAGUGGUGCGUUUGUUUUUACUGGAUUCGGCCAAGGGUUAAACCGGAAAUCUGCACGAAGAAUCAAGCAUGAAUAAUGUCUUUUCUUUUUUGUUUUUUUUUAGCAAUGAUUAAGCUUGCUUUGCUACUUUUUUGUUCGUAGUGGGAGAGAAUAUGAGACCUUUGUUUUCUUUUGCUUUUGUAGAUGCCCCGAAUAAUUAAAGGGAAAAGUUUUAGUAUAAUUGUGGGUUUUAUGAGUUAUCCCUGUCAAAUACAGGCGAAGAGUUCCGACUUUCAUGUCAGUCUCCAAGUAUACUUUAUAUUAAAAAAUACCAAAAAUAAAUAUUUAAUACUUUAUAUUAAAUAACUGUAGAAAUUUAUUACAGUAAAGUCUUCACAAUAUCUGUUUUCUUACUGAAUUUUCUUUAAUUCAUACUUUACAUAUUUUCUAUUGAUAUAUUUAUUUUGACCAUUCAAUAAAUCAUUUAAUACUCAUAUUUAUUGUAAAAUGCGGGAAUUGGAUUUAAUCGGUGAAGUCACGGAACAAGGAAUAAUCGGAGAGUAAUUGGAUUGUAUUGAAUGAUUAAUUGUAUAAUCAUUAUUUAAUCAGUUUGAUGAGUUUCAAAACAUGGAUUAAUCGAGAUUAAUCACGAAUUGAAUGCUAUAGUAUUUUAAAAAAUUAUAUAUUUCCUAUAAUUUUGAAAUAUUUUCCUCUUAAACUAACGAAUUUUAAUUGAUUGUAACAAAUUGUUUUUGUAUAAUUUUAUGAAUCUGAAAAAUGUAUGUCAUUUAGUUAUAUAUAUAAUUUAAGAAUUUAUUAUAACUUAUUUAUAUAAAUAUGAUAUUUGUAAUUUGUUUAUAUCUAUUAUUUAUAUACUAAUAGUAAUAUGUAUUGAUCGAUCAUCAAUACAUUUAAAUUGUUAUGACGGCUGGUUAAUUUUUUGAGAAGAACAUAUAUGAAAUUGUCUAUAUAUCAUAAAUAAAUAAGUUCUAAAAAGUCAAGAAUAUGUUGUUCAUUAUCUUUCAGAAACACCAAUUUUUUUUCAUUCUUUUAUUUAAAUUAUAUAAAUAUCUUUGUAUAAUUUUUAGAUAUUUCCAUUCUCUUAUAUGGUAAAUAUGUUACUCCCCCGUCCCACCAAGUUGUUUACAUUGGGUUUGGACAAGGAGGUUAAGAAAUACGUAUAAAGUAGUGGAAAAAUGAGAGAAAAGUGAGUGGGGUGGUGGGACCCAUUGAUUUUUAAUAUAUGAAAAGGAGACUGGAGUAAAGCAGUGUGAAAGGAGAAGAAAAGUGGAAAAAUGACGGGAUUCGUUAACUAUUUUAGAAAAGUUUUGUAAUAUAAAAAAAUGAGUGGGACAUCCAAGAAAAGAAACCGUAAAGAAUCUGGUGGGACAGAGAGAGUAAUUAUUAAUGGAAACUUGGUCCUACUUGUUCCAUUAUUGAAAUGUGAAAGGAAUAAAGAUGAUGAAUUGAGUAUUUUCUUUCACAGGAGAUGCACAUGGGAGAUGUCCGGAGUAUGAUAAGAUGCACAUAGCGACGAAGUGACUGAUGAGUGAUCACGGGAAAGAACACGAAAAUACAAACGACUGGAUGAGAUAUUUUUGACGAGAUUUUGCCGUGCUCCUUUAUUAAAAUCGAAAUUUAUGGGGGAUUUUUGGUUUUAUUUUAAUAAUUAUUUAUUAUUAAUGUGUGAAAGUGAUUUUAAAUUUCUAUUUUUAUUUAAAAAUUAUUUACAGCUUAUUAGAAAUAAAAAUUAUUAAUAUAUUAAUAAAAUAUUAUAAAUCAUCUUUUGAUCUCAUUUAUUAAGCUUAGUAUUAUAAAAUAUUAAGCUUGCUUUGCUACUUUUUUAUUCGUAGUGGGAGAGAAUACGAGACCUUUGUUUUCUUUUGCUUUUGUAGAUGCCCCAAAUAAUUAAAGGGAAAGUUACAGUAUAAUUGUGGAUUUUAUGAGUUAUCCAUGGGAGUGAGAAGUAAAUAAGUUCAUAAAGUGUUUGGAAAAAAAAAAAAGAAACGGUGUGAGAGAGAAGCUAGCAUUCUCAGCUUCUUAAAAGUGCUUCCACUUCUUUACACAAAGAGUCAAGAGAAGCAGAAGUAAGAAGCAGCUUCUUAAAAGUGCUUCCACUUCUUUACACAGACCCUCCAUAAAUUUUAAAGGAACAAAGAGAAGAAGGCUCAAAAUUUUGUACUGUAACCCAUCUAAUCUGGUCCCAAAGAAAAGAGAAACUGAGCCGUGAGAAACAGACACAUUUUUAUCAGCCUUAAAGCAACAUCUCUUCUGAACAGGAUUGCAGAAAUGGCAAAGGUAAUGUAAAAGUUAGAGUUUUGAUAUCACCAAAACUCACGAGGACCCCAAAUGACAUUUUCUAGAAAGCAAUGACUUCCCAAGAAUCUUAACGAAACUCCGCAGAACCACGAUUUGGGUAGAAAGUUUGCCUGUCAUUUCUACAAGCAACUAAAUAUGACAGGAUCACACUCGACAUUAAGAGCGUUAAAUUAUAAAAAUCUUGGAAAAAUAAAAUCAAAACCUCUGACUUCUUUUGUCUAUAAGGACCUGCCUCACUAAAGCAGCACAUCUGUCAUAAUAAUCUGAAAAUAUGCUCAACUGCAAUUGAAAAGAAUUGUCCAAAUAUUGUAAUUAGGCUUCAGAAAGCCCCAUGUAUCGAGUACUUUCUGGGAAGCUUAGUUCGUUUAGUGUUAUACUGCAAUGUGAGUAUCUGCAAUGUUGAAUCUGUGUGUCGUAUUCCCUCUACUGAACACUAACUGAACCAUAUGAUAGUUCAUGUUUGUAUCUUGUUCAAAGUUGAUUAUCAAUUUGUAUGAUUCAACUUACUUUUUGCUUCUUUUUUAUAGUAAUCGUAUGAUUCUUUUUCCAUUAACUUGUGUAUCAUGUGCCGAAAGCAGGACGAAUGAAGUCCAAAGCUCCCGAAUCAUAAUCAUUGAGGGAAUGAAUCUGUUGCUGAGUGAAAUUCGCGUUAAAUACUGGAUAUUCAGAGUAUCUGUCACAGCCUUGAUGGUGGAUUUAUUUGGAUUUAAGAAAGUUUUAGUGACAUUCAAUGAGCAGGGCAAGCAUCUGUGAAAUUAUCCUCCUUAUAUCUGCAAUUGCUUUUCAAGGACCUCUCUAUAAUCGUCUCCGUCUCCGGGCGCUUUAUCAAGAAGGUAUAUGAGUUUAUUAAGCUAAGUGACAAUUAUCUAAGGUUCUUGUAUAAACCAGUUCAAAAAAAGUUGCAGCUUAGAAGAAUAUAUUGUUCCUUGAACAGAACUAAACCAAGCUGCAACAAUAAUAACAGCUUGCAAUUCUAUUUAUUCACCUCAUAGAGUUACACAGUGGUCAUUAUUACGAAACAUUUCAAUUCAUCUAACAAAUCUGAGAAAUUGUAAUGAAGCUAAACAAUCUUUUAAAGGGCAAAAAAAGACCAAAUCUUAAAGGAAACCUUCUAGAGCGGAAAAACAUCUACUAUACACUAUAAGAUAUUAUUAAUUUUAUCUUGAAUCAUCUUAGUAACAGGCUUCGACGCCCUACAAGAAAGUCACAAACCAUGUUUCCCUGGCCCUUUAACGUGGCAGUCGAAAAGGAUUUGUCCCUUGAGGCUUUAAUGUAAGGUUCAAAAUAUUAAUCCUGUUAGGUGAUCUACUUCCUUAAGGAUUUAAGUUCAAAUCUUAACAUUUAUGCUGUCACUCUUAAGCAGAAGCAAAUCUGCACAACAUUUAAGACAUCUGCAAAAGUAUUACUAGGCAUUUGUAGAGAUUAAUGGCAUUAUUUUCCACGAUCUUGCAAUAUUACAUAAGAGCAAGUCCAAUAGGUUACCUAAACUUGCUCCUAAACUCACAUUUAGGUAAUGAACUAAAAAAAUGCACUCCAACACUCUCCUAGUGGUUACUUAAAUCACCAGCACAACCUCAAAUCUCCUAGCCAUUACCUAUUUAUAAGUAAUCACUAGCCAUUACCUAUUUAAUAUUUAUGAAUAAAAUAAUCAAUCUCUCUCCUUCUUUCUUUGUCUUUUUCCUCUCUUCUCCUUUCUCUCUCUCAAAUUUAUUACUAAAAUAAUCUUAGGAGAACAAAUAUAAGGAUUGCUAUUGGAGUUGACACUAAAAAUAGAUUACAUAAAUCACUAAGACUCGCUAGGAUUCAUUAUUUUAUAUUAUUAAUAGGUAAUGAGAUAAGUAACCUAUUGGACUUGCUCUAACUAGUAAAAAAGAACUUUAGCUACAACCAGAGAAGUGCCAUUUUCAAUUUUUUAUUGUCUAAUAGUAACUCUGUUUUUUAUGGAGGAAACAUCACAUACAAUGUUAAAGCUAGUUUCUGUAAAGUAAUCUAAGGAUCGCAAGAUCAUAACACAACUGAAUCCGCAAGGCUGAAAGUUCCAGGUUUACAUCAAUAUUAUUGCAGAAGACCAACUGCCCUAUAAGCUGUUAUUCAUAAUAUGGAUCCAAAGAUGGGUUAGUUUGAAGCCUUCCAUAAUUCAUAAUAUCAUCACUCACCCGAAAACACCAAAAAUUUACUCAACUCGUGUGAACUUCUAGGCAUGGCUAGUAAAAAGAGCUCAAAUCACAAUUUUUAUGUCAUAUGUCUGUUUAUAUAACAUACAUAAAGAUGAAGAACUUAGAAGCCUUUGGGGAGUGGUAGCAGAACGCCAGAACAUGAACUUAAAAUGUUACAAGUGUUUGGUAAAAAAAAAAAAACUCAAAAUCUCUAACGGUAAAUAUUACUCCUUCCCACUCAUUUUGUCUAACUUAGAAAUACACCGUAUAUUCACUAACAUUAAAUUAGCCGAUAAUUAUUAAAAAAAUUAUAUUGCUUUUCAUAUAUAUUAACUUAGUUUAUAUUGAAUUUGCCAUAUUUACUAAACAUGAUAAUUUUGGAUCACGUACAGUAGAAAAUGAGGGAUUCAAACAAACAAUAAAAAAAAAAAAUCAGUUAGAGCAUCUCCAACCCUCACAAGCCCUUAGGUAAAAGUCCACGUGGCUUUUCAAAAUUAAAUUUUAUAGCCAAUGUUCACAAAAACUGGAACUCCAGCCCCAGCAACCCCUUGUGUAUAAUUAUAGUCAUCCCACUAUGGAUGGCUAUAUUUGUCGAUCCGCUACCAAUCGGUAGCGAAUUCCACGUCAUCUCCAGCAAUUUAUUUUUCUACUUUCCACUGAUUACAUAUUAUUUAUUACCAUAUUAAACUGAAAUAUUCUAUUUAUUAUAAUCUAAAUAUUAAUAACAUGCUAUUUUUAAAUUAUAACCAACCAAUAUAGUCAAUACCAUUGAAGCACAAUGUCUUACCGGUUCGGCAAAUUUUACAUAAUGUCUUAAAGAUCCAAUUUAGCCAACGAUUGUAACCAACGUCAUUAGAGAUACUCUUAACAUUAGUAAUUAUUUAUUUAUUUACAUUAGUGUAAAUAUCAAAUACAUACAAUCAAACAUUCAUUCAAUAAAAAAUAAAGUUAUCAUUUUGAAUAAUAAAUUUAAAUAAAAUACAGAAAUGUCUAAAAUUUCAAUAUUAAAUUAUGUGAUUGUUAACUAAAAAAAAAAUAAUAGAAUCUAGAUUAAUGAAAUAUCUGUCCAGAUAGUCUAAGUGGAGAAACGGAUUUAUUGUAGAAAGGAAACAUUACUCAUCAUAAAAUAGAAUUAAAAUUCUUCAAAUUAAACAAAAACAAAAUACAUUCAAAUUGAACAGAAACAAAUUACAAAUUUUAUGAUAAUAUGAUGUGAUGCACGAGUGCCGAGAAUCUUCCAGGUUGUUUCCAAGACUUCUAGUUGGUUUGGAUCAAGAUACGUUCUAGUUGGACGGGAAUGUUCUUCAGCUCUUCACACUUCUUUAUUCUGAAACUUUUGAGGCAUGGGAGUGCUCCAUCCUCGACUUGCAAUUCUUUCAGAUUAGUGAAUUUUUGUAGUCUUAAGACUUGAAGACUUGGAAACGAAUUUUUACUGCAAACCAUUAUAUCCCCUCCGUACACUUGAUGCAAAUCAAGAGUCGUAAGAUUCCGUAAAUUUCCCAGGCUGGGCAUUGGAUCUUCAGUGAACCCACUCUCAGAUAGAGCUAAAUCCUCGACUGAAUCCGGAAGAAAACAGAAUUCUGAUAGUUCUAUAACACCUUUUAAAGUUAUGCUCUUGAGACGAUUCAAAACCAAAAACGGUUUCAAUGUUGAAAUAACGACAUCAUUAUACCUUUUAAAUAUGAACGUUUGGAGAUUUGUUAAAUUAGCAAUGGAUUCAAAAGUGCCACCUCCUCCUCCCACUCUAUCUCUUAUAUAUAAUGUACGGAGGUUAGUUAAAUUGACGGUAUCAAUCUUGACCCAUUCCUCGAAAAUUAUACCAUAAAAAGAAUGGAGUUUUGUUUGAUGGCUACCUAUAUUCAACCUCCCGCUAAUUUUAAUCAAUAUAAGAUACAGGUGCCUCAGCUCAGGCAGCUCCCAUAUCUCUCUGGGAACUGUGUGGGAACAACCAAGGGGCCCACCCCAUAAACUUUGUACUCCCUCUGUCCCAGUCAAUUGUAUACGUUUCUUUUUCACUGCUCGACACGCUUUUUAAGGCUCUUAUAAAACAUAAUUCCACAACUUAUUUUUAAGAUUUUCUUUUUUUGUAUAAAAAUAUAAAUGUUAUACUUUUAUACAAAAAAAGAAAAUCUUAAAAAUAAUUUACAGAACUAUACUAUAUUGAUGCUUUAAAGUCCGUGCCGCGCCCCCGUCCCCCAAUGUAUACUAUUGACUGGGACGGAGGGAGUAACUUUUUCAGCUUGCCUAUAGUUGCCGGCACUGCUACUGUUUUCCUGACGCUACCCAUUAAGCCUAAAAACUUUAAAAGAACCAGUUCCCCUAAUCCUUCUGGUACCCUCUCUGAUUCUACCCUCGACAUAUCAAGCACCGUAAGAUUUUUAAAUCUGGUGUAUAUCAACUUCAUUUCUUUUAAUUCCACUUUAACUUUAUAACCUUCCACCACUAAGGAAUGCAAAUAUAAAGCAUCAAAUCUACGUUGCUCAAGUAAUUUCAAGUACUCACCAAUUUCAUCGUAGAUAGCAUGACGCCGUUGUCCUUCCAAUAAAUGGGUGAGAUUUGGUUGGUGUUUACUUGAAUCUGAAAUAACCAAAUUCUUCUGCUCCUUUGCUUUUCUUAUGGCAAGUUCACGGACAAGAUCAUGGACCUGGCAUGCCAAAACUUUCCCAUUCAAUUGCGAAUAAUUAAUCUGAAUUAAGUUGCGAUUAAUCAGCUCGUUCAGACAAUCCUCGGCCAAAUCCUCCAUGAGUACUCCAUCUCCUUCUUCAUCUUCUGAUAUGAAUUCCUCUGCAAUCCAUAAAUGCUUCAAACGUUCGACAUCAAUAAUUUCGUCUUCUGGGAAUCGUGCAAGGUACAGAAAACAAUCUCUCAUUUGGUGAGACAAGUCUUUAUAACUCAAGCUGAGUAUUUCUACAAUAUCCACCGAGUCAUCCCUCAAGUUUCUCCAGAUAUGCUCCUUCACCUUUAACCAAUAGUCUUUGCUCUUGUUGUGCAAUAAAAGGCCGCCCAGUAUCACAAUUGCAAGUGGUAAACCUCCACAUUUACCAACCAUCUCCCUUCCCAACUUCUCCAGAUUGUGGGUUGGUUCUGCUGUCUUGCAGAAUAAUUCCCAGCUUUCCUCUUCCCUCAACAAACGAAGUUGAUAGGCUAAACAAUUCUUAUCCACAGUCUCUGCGACUUUCUUGUUUCUGGUAGUUAUCAUGAUCCUACUACCGUUGUCCUGGUUUGGAAAUGCGAUCUUGAUCUGGUUCCAAGCUUUUAUAUCCCAUAUAUCAUCAAUAAGUACCAAAUAGCAACCUUGAUUCUCGAGUAACUGUUGUAGGUAUUGCCGCAAGUCAUGCUCAUCCAUGUUUGACAUAUAUUCUUCGUGCUGAGGUCCCUUGAAAGACUUUAUUAUCCUCUUAAGGACAUCUUUGAUGGUAUAUUCGUUGGAGACGCAAACUUUAGCACGGGUGCCAAAAUGUCUCAACUCGUUAGAGUUGUACAACUUG
rnacentral:lncRNA from 1 species